AGUCGGGCCUGCCCAGUGAAAGUUUUUAACGGCCGCGGUACUCUGACCGUGCAAAGGUAGCAUAAUCAUUUGCCUUAUAAUUGAAGGCUGGUAUGAAUGGUUUGACAAGAAUAUAGCUGUCUCUUUAUAAUUUGCUAGAAUUUUAUUUGUAAGUGAAGAAGCUUACAUAAAAUUGAAGGACAAGAAGACCCUAUCGAGCUUUAAAAAAACUAACGGAUUAAGAAAUUAUUUAUAAAAAACAAUCCACUAGACAUUUUAGUUGGGGCGACUGAGGAACAAAAAAAGCUUCCUUUAAGGUAUUAGAUAAACGCACGAGUAUUGAUCCAGAAAUUUUGAUUAAAGGAAAUAGUUACCGUAGGGAUAACAGCAUAAUCUUUUUUAAGAGCCCAUAUCGAAAAAAAGGUUUGUGACCUCGAUGUUGGACCAGAAUAUCCUGAAGAUGUAGCAGUCUUUAAGGGUUGGUCUGUUCGACCAUUAAAAUUCUACGUGAGCUGAGUUCAGACCGG
rnacentral:rRNA from 1 species